GUCUUCCACAGCACAUAUACUAAAAUUGGAAUAAUACAGAGAACAUUAGCAUAGCCCCUGCACAAGGAUGAGACUCAGCUCUGUAAAGCGUUACAUAUUUUU